rnacentral:rRNA from 1 species
AUUGAACGCUGGCGGCAGGCUUAACACAUGCAAGUCGAGCGGGGUGAUGGUGCUUGCACUAUCACUUAGCGGCGGACGGGUGAGUAAUGCUUAGGAAUCUGCCUAUUAGUGGGGGACAACAUCUCGAAAGGGAUGCUAAUACCGCAUACGUCCUACGGGAGAAAGCAGGGGAUCACUUGUGACCUUGCGCUAAUAGAUGAGCCUAAGUCAGAUUAGCUAGUUGGUGGGGUAAAGGCCUACCAAGGCGACGAUCUGUAGCGGGUCUGAGAGGAUGAUCCGCCACACUGGGACGGAGACACGGCCCAGACUCCUCCGGGAGGCAGCAGUGGGGAAUAUUGGACAAUGGGGGGAACCCUGAUCCAGCCAUGCCGCGUGUGUGAAGAAUGCCUUAUGGUUGUAAAGCACUUUAAGCGAGGAGGAGGCUCUUUUGGUUACUACCCAAGAUGAGUGGACGUUACUCGCAGAAUAAGCACCGGCUAACUCUGUGCCAGCCGCCGCCGUAA